UGAUGAUUUUCUAUUCCCUUCUUGGUUUCUGUCUGUGGAAAGUAAAACAAAACAGAGAAGGUCAGAAGAACAGAAAUCUGCAGUGCCCUUUCCAGACAUGGCACAAACCUGAUUGCAUAGGGAUCUAAUGGGAUACAUGAGACCAAUGAAAUCUGUAUUGCAGGCCUAUCCAUUACACCUCUCCUAGGCAUCCUGCCCAGACACUGGUCAGCUGCCUUCGCUUUUUGUAUUAUCGGUGUUAUGUUUUCUCCUUGAUUACCUUUUGCCUUCUUUUCCCUAACUUGGCACUUCAUGCGGGAUUUCCUGAUCUUUCCAGAAAAGGUCAGGGGGACACUGAGGAUGAUAAGUAAUGGAAGUAACUGUUCGCUCUGGAAGAGCUGGGUGACAGAAGGUUGGUCCCUAUUAAGCAUAAACAUGAAAGUCACCACCCCGGCUGAUGACUUCUCUGUGCAAGCGGAACAGCUCUAGUUUACCUGGUCUCCCACGACAACAGACUUGAUGGCAGCCAAAGAGAUCCAGAGGCAGCCGAGCGUGACAGCCGACAUCAAAGCGGGAAUGCCACACCUUGAUCCAGACUUCACUCUACCUGCCGGGGCAAACUUAUUAACGUGACCACCCUGAGAAUUCAAAGGAGCAAACACAUACAGGCACACAAAACCCAACCGCUCAAAUUUGAAAACGAAAAUAGAAGUCUAGACAGCUUUUCUUCAGAAUUCAUUGCUGCUGACCUAAUUAUUUGGAUCCUGUGCUUUAUCUUGGUCUUUUCAAAGAACAAGAAGAAUAGUUAAUUUCACUUAAUAGAAUAAUUGAAUGUCAUAAUUGUGGGUUUUUUUUUUCUUUUUCACUUCAACAAUAAUGUUUUAGUUAAGCUGCCAUCUCUUUCUGUAGAGUUGUUAAUGACCAGGCUGCUCACACAAUGAAUUAGUUACUUCUUUGUCUUCUCGCUGGACCAUUUGGACUAACCUAGGCUGAUGAUUUUGUAUACAUGCCUAUGCUCUAAUGAUUGUUUCUAUCUAUGAUAUUCUGAGCUGUAAAUGAUAUCUUUUCAUUCAUAAUUUUUCACAUUCAAGAACUGCACAGAAGUAGAGAUUUGGAAUACAGAUAGGUACAAUGAAGAUUUUGGUAUAGGAAUAGUUCAAACUCAGGUUACUGUAAAGUAUGCAAACUGUGAGCCUGUUCUGUUUUUGCAAAAACAGGGAUGAACUGGAUGCAGUUCAUCCAAAUUGUGCAAGAUUUUGGGACUGGAUAAUGUCAUUUAAAUGAAUCUGAUGAUGGUUAAAAGGACGGAUGAUAUUUUGGUGACCUCAGUGAUAAAGUGGUUGUGAAAAGAUCUGACUAAUGUAAAAUGGAAGUUUCAUAAUAGCUUUAACAAGCUCCACAAUUUCUUACAUUUAUAGUGUCUUCCAUCUUGUAAAUCCCUAAGCACUUCACAACAAUACAGAGCAGCUACCUCUAGGAUAGAAAGUGG
rnacentral:lncRNA from 1 species